UUCUCUAAUUCUAGCCUACUGUUGCUCUGCUGCUAGUUUGAAAAAAUAGUCAGAACACUUGAAACACCCCUACCCUCUUUUAUAUUUUAAAAUUGUUUUAAAGCCUUAAUUGGUGAGCCCGUGGGGCCCACCUUGUUUAUUUUUUUUAUGUUUUCUGAUCUCUCUCUUCUUCUUCUUCGUUUCUCCCUCCCGUAGCUCUCUCCUUCUCAACACUGCUUCUCUCAGUCUGAUCCCUCCCGUGGUACACAAGCCGUACAGUGUAUCAAUCUAUCAAGAAUUAAAGAAUUCAAUUAUUCCAUCAUUCCAUAAAAAAGACAUUGAAGUUUAGUUAAUUGGUCAACAACCCAAAUUAUGGAAAGAUAUUUCAAAAGAAAAACACAACCUGAGAUAUUAGAACCGUCUCCAAAGAGUCCAAAGAACAAUGAAAGUAGUUCAAAACAAACUUGUGUGGAUUCUAUGGAAAUUAACUCGGAAACUCUCCAGUAUGAUCCUGGAUUGCGUAGACCGAUUUUGAGUUAUCAUCCUAAUGUUCGAGACCAAGUUCGAAGAGCCUAUCUCCAAAAUAAACCUUGUCAACCAAAAACCCAUGCAUUUCCCUACACAAAUUUUGGGACAAAGCCUAGAAGGUUCAAUCCUGCUUGGUUUACUCAAUUUCCUAAUUGGUUGGAGUAUAGCACAUCACAGGAUGCUGCCUAUUGUUUAUGUUGUUAUCUUGCACAAAAGAUGGUUGGAACCAAGAAAGAUCAUACUUAUCCGUUAGUGUACUUGCUUUUGACACUGGCACUCAUCUUACCGGUUGCAACAGCAAGUGUAGAGCGAGUCUUUUCUGCUAUGAAUAUUGUUAAGAACACCCUACGCAAUCGAAUGGGUGAUUUGUGGAUGAACGAUUGUUUGGUUGCUUAUAUUG